rnacentral:tRNA from 1 species
CAAAAGCCCAUCGCUUACACCGAAGAGUUAUCUGUUUAACCCAGAUCAUUUUGA